UACGGAGGGUGCGAGCGUUGUCCGGAAUCACUGGGCGUAAAGGGCGCGUAGGCGGCCCGCGCAAGCGUGCGGUGAAAGCCCGGGGCUCAACCCCGGGUCGGCCGUGCGGACUGCGGGGCUCGAGCACUGUAGGGGCAGAUGGAAUUCCGGGUGUAGCGGUGGAAUGCGUAGAGAUCCGGAAGAACACCGGUGGCGAAGGCGGUCUGCUGGGCAGUAGCUGACGCUGAGGAGCGAAAGCGUGGGGAGCGAACAGG
rnacentral:rRNA from 1 species